ACUCAAAGCAGAAGCUCAUUGAUGUGCUACGAGACUCAAACUGUAAACUGAGUGAAUGACGAUACGGAAAUGACGUCUGCUGUCCAUCCACUGGUGUCCAGCCACUGGUGUCUAGCAAGAAGUGAGUCUGCGGGGCUGCAGCUGGAUGCCUCUCCUUCAGUUUGGCGGUUUUCUGAGGUAUUGCUCUUUCACUAGUAAACACAAAGCAACAGAAUGUGGACUCAUACACAUGGUUUAUUUAAUCUCAUGUAAUGUGCUGAUUUAUUAGGCUUUUUAUUAUAUAAAAUAACACCAAAGACUUAUGCACUCAGUCUGUCUAUAAUAUGAAAACUGGUGAAACAAAGAAAAAUAUGAUAACAGUGA